rnacentral:rRNA from 1 species
CGGAGGGAGCUAGCGUUGUUCGGAAUUACUGGGCGUAAAGCGCACGUAGGCGGCUUUGUAAGUUAGGGGUGAAAGCCUGGAGCUCAACUUCAGAAUUGCCCUUAAGACUGCAUCGCUUGAAUCCAGGAGAGGUGAGUGGAAUUCCGAGUGUAGAGGUGAAAUUCGUAGAUAUUCGGAAGAACACCAGUGGCGAAGGCGGCUCACUGGACUGGUAUUGACGCUGAGGUGCGAAAGCGUGGGGGAGCAAACAGGAUU